ensembl:lncRNA
CCUAAUAAUCGGAGGUCACCUGAGAGAUGUGCCUUGCAGUCUGUUAGGGUAAAGAGGUUCGCCAUGGCAACAGCCGACAACAGCCAUCCAGAGCGGUCCAGCUGAGCCUUUUCCAGAGGGAGUCUCACCACAUUAGUGGACUCCAGUCUAAAUGUCACCCACUACUGAAAGACAACAACUCCUUGCACUGACCUUGAUCCUGCAGAAAUGUCACGGUAUCCACCCAACCUUGAGAUUACACUGGAGAGAAGGGACUAUAUUUGCACAUGAAGACUCUUGCCAUUAAAGAUCCCACACAACCAUGUGUUGAUCUUUCUGUUUGUUUGGCUUUGAAUGGCCCUUAUGUUACUUUUACUCUCAGUUAAUUUGUCUUUUUAUUACACACUGGUGGUUACAAUGACUUGCAGGCUCACUGUGUUUGGUCUGCAUUGUUAACUACAAGC